rnacentral:rRNA from 1 species
GAUGAACGCUCGCGGCAGGCCUAAUACAUGCAAGUCGAACGGGCGGUAGCAAUACCGCUAGUGGCGCACGGGUGCGUAACGCGUAACCAACCUGCCCAGAUCUGGGGGAUAGCCCGCCGAAAGGCGGAUUAAUACCGCAUAAACCCACAGUGUGGCAUCACAUAAUGGGUAAAGAUUUAUCGGAUCUGGAUGGGGUUGCGUAGCAUUAGCUAGUUGGCGGGGUAAUGGCCCACCAAGGCGACGAUGCUUAGGGGACCUGAGAGGGUGAUCCCCCACACUGGCACUGAGAUACGGGCCAGACUCCUACGGGAGGCAGCAGUAGGGAAUAUUGGGCAAUGGGCGAGAGCCUGACCCAGCCAUGCCGCGUGCCGGAUGAAGGCCUUCUGGGGUGUAAACGGCUUUUCUCAGGGAAGAAAACGGGGAUGCGUCCUCAACUGACGGUACCUGAGGAAUAAGCACCGGCUAACUCCGUG